CUAAGACCGCAUAGGUGUAGAGAUCGCAUGAACUCUAUAUGAAAAGUGCUACGGGACUGGUAGAUGAUGGACUUAUGGCGCAUUAGCUUGUUGGUAGGGUAACGGCCUACCAAGGCGACGAUGCGUAGCCGACCUGAGAGGGUGACCGGCCACACUGGGACUGAGACACGGCCCAGACUCCUACGGGAGGCAGCAGUAGGGAAUUUUCGGCAAUGGGGGAAACCCUGACCGAGCAACGCCGCGUGAAGGAAGAAGUAAUUCGUUAUGUAAACUUCUGUCAUAGAGGAAGAACGGUGGAUAUAGGGAAUGAUAUCCAAGUGACGGUACUCUAUAAGAAAGCCACGGCUAACUACGUGCCAGCAGCCGCGGUAAUACGUAGGUGGCGAGCGUUAUCCGGAAUUAUUGGGCGUAAAGAGGGAGCAGGCGGCACUAAGGGUCUGUGGUGAAAGAUCGAAGCUUAACUUCGGUAAGCCAUGGAAACCGUAGAGCUAGAGUGUGUGAGAGGAUCGUGGAAUUCCAUGUGUAGCGGUGAAAUGCGUAGAUAUAUGGAGGAACACCAGUGGCGAAGGCGACGAUCUGGCGCAUAACUGACGCUCAGUCCCGAAAGCGUGGGGAGCAAAUAGGAUUAGAUACCCUAGUAGUCCACGCCGUAAAC
rnacentral:rRNA from 1 species